UACGGGAAGGCAGCAGUGGGGAAUAUUGCACAAUGGGCGAAAGCCUGAUGCAGCUAUGCCGCGUGUAUGAAGAAGGCCUUAGGGUUGUAAAGUACUUUCAUCGGGGAGGAAAAAACAAAACUAAUAAUUUUAUUUCUUGACGUUACCCGAAAAAGAAGCACCGGCUAACUCCGUGCCAGCAGCCGCGGUAAUACGGAGGGUGCUAGCGUUAAUCAGAAUUACUGGGCGUAAAGAGCACGUAGGUGGUUUUUUUAAAGUCAGAUGUGAAUCCCUGGGCUUAACCUGGAACUGCAUUUUGAAACUGAAAUACUAGAGUAUCGUAGAGGGAGGUAGAAUUCUAGGUGUAGCGGUGAAAUGCGUAGAUAUCUGGAGGAAUACCUGUGGCGAAAGCGGCCUCCUAAACGAAUACUGACACUGAGGUGCGAAAGCGUGGGGAGCAAACAGGGAUUAGAUACC
rnacentral:rRNA from 1 species